rnacentral:rRNA from 1 species
AUUGAACGCUGGCGGCAGGCUUAACACAUGCAAGUCGAGCGAGCGGCGGACGGGUGAGUAAUGUCUGGGAAACUGCCUGAUGGAGGGGGAUAACUACUGGAACCGGUAGCUAAUACCGCAUACCAUCAGAUGUGCACAGAUGGGCUUAGCUUGUAGGUGGGGUAAUGGCUAACCUAGGCGACGAUCCCUAGCUGGUCUGAGAGGAUGACCGGCCACACUGGAACUGGGAAACGGUCCAGACUCCUACGGAAGGCAGCAGUGUGGAAUAUUGCACAAUGGGGGCAAGCCGGAUGCAGCCAGGCCGGGUGUGUGAAGAAGGCUUUCGGGUUGUAAAGCACUUUCAGCGAGGAGGCGUUACUCACAGAAGAAGCACCGGCUAACUCCGUGCCAGCAGCCGCGGUAAUUC